rnacentral:rRNA from 1 species
GAAUAAUGGAUGACUGGAGUUUGGUUGUCGCUGGCCCUUUACUGGGGCAUGUGCACGCCUUUCUCUAUUCAUCCACACACACCUGUGAACUUGUGAGACGGAUAGUAGUCCCCUCCGGGGCGAGCUCCGCCUGCGCAUACCCAACUCCCGUAAAUUAAUUUUAAUGGCAUUUGAUGUAACGCAUCCAUUAACUAAAUUUCAACCACGGAUCUCUUGGCUCUCCCAUCCAUGAAGAACCCCGCCAAAUGGGAAAAAUAAUGGGAAUUGGAAAAUUCCAUGGAACCUUCAAUCUUUGAAAGCCCCUUGGGCUCCUUGGUAUUCCUCCGAACCUGGCUGUUUGAAUAUCAUGAAAUUUCCCAAAUAAAACUUUUGUUUCUUUCAUCGGUUUUUUUUGGAAUUGGAGGUCUGCAAAAUCCCGUCUGGCCCUCCUAAAUUCAUUAACUGGAUCCCUAUAAACUCGGUUCCACUCCGCGAGAAAAGUAUUCCCUCCUGAAGACACUGGUAAAAGGUGGCCGGGAUUGUUGAAGAACUGCUUCUAAUAGUCCAUUCACUUGGACAAUUUACUUAAGAACUGAACUCCAAUCAAGUAGGGAUAACCGCUGAACUUUAACAUAUCAAUAAACCGGAGGAAAU